rnacentral:rRNA from 1 species
CACGUAGUUAGCCGGUCCUUAUUCCUCAGGUACCGUCAGAACUUCUUCCCUGAGAAAAGUGGUUUACACCCCGAAAGGCGUCAUCCCACACGCGGCGUUGCUCCGUCAGGCUUUCGCCCAUUGCGGAAGAUUCCUUGCUGCUGCCUCCCGUAGGAGUCGGGGCCGUGUCUCAGUCCCCGUGUGGCUGGCCGUCCUCUCAGACCAGCUACCGAUCAUCGCCACGGUAGGCCGUUACCCCACCGUCUAGCUAAUCGGCCGCAGGCCCCUCCCAAGGCGAGUCCGAAGACCCUUUCCUCACUCACCCUCCGGUCAGUGAGCGUAUGCGGAAUUACCCGGUGUUUCCACCGGCUAUCCCCCACCUCAGGGCAGGUUGCCCACGUGUUCCGCACCCGUCCGCCGCGUAAAGUGAUCCGAAGAUCACCCCGCUCGACUUGCAUGCAUUAGGCACGCCGCCAGCGUGAUCCUGAGCACGAGCAAACUACU